rnacentral:rRNA from 1 species
CCAAUAGCGUAUAUUAAAGUUGUUGCAGUUAAAAAGCUCGUAGUUGAAUUUCGGGGUCAGUAGGUUGGUCAUGCCACUGGUAUGUACUGGUCUCACUGAUUCCUCCUUCCUGAUGAACUGUAAUGCCAUUAAUUUGGUGUUGCAGGGAAUCUGGACUGUUACUUUGAAAAAAUUAGAGUGUUUAAAGCAGGCUAACGCCUGAAUACAUUAGCAUGGAAUAAUGAAAUAGGACGUUCGAUCCUAUUUUGUUGGUUUCUAGGUUUGACGUAAAGAUUAAUAGGGAUAGUUGGGGGCAUUAGUAUUCAAUUGGCAGAGGUGAAAUUCUUGGAUUUAUUGAAGACUAACUACUGCGAAAGCAUUUGCCAAGGAUGUUUUCAUUAAUCAAGAACGAAAGUUAGGGGAUCGAAGACGAUCAGAUACCGUCGUAGUCUUAACCAUAAACUAUGCCGACUAGGGAUCGGAUGAUGUUAAUUUUUUAAUGACUCAUUCGGCGCCUUACG